rnacentral:rRNA from 1 species
GACGAACCGUGCAAACGUUGUUCGGAAUCACUGGGCUUAAAGGGCGCGUAGGCGGGCAAGCAAGUCGAAGGUGAAAUCCCACGGCUCAACCGUGGAAGUGCCCCCGAUACUGCUUGUCUUGAGGGAGAUAGGGGCGUGCGGAACUUCCGGUGGAGCGGUGAAAUGCGUAGAUAUCGGGAGGAACACCUGAGGCGAAGGCGGGCUACUGGGCCGAUACUGACGCUGAUGCGCGAAAGCCAGGGGAGCGAACGGG